CCCUUAGAUGUUCUGGGCCGCACGCGCGCUACACUGAUGCAUUCAACGAGUCUAAAACCUGCUCUGAUAGGGGUGGGUAAUCUUUUGAAUGUGCAUCGUGAUUGGGAUAGAUGAUUGCAAUUUUUCAUCUUCAACGAGGAAUUCCUAGUAAGCGCGAGUCAUCAGCUCGCGUUGAUUACGUCCCUGCCCUUUGUACACACCGCCCGUCGCUCCUACCGAUUGAAUGGUCCGGUGAAAUCUUCGGAUUGCUGACCAAGAUCCAGCAAUGGAGCUUGGUUGCGAGAAGUUGAUUAAACCUUAUUAUUUAGAGGAAGGAGAAGUCGUAACA
rnacentral:rRNA from 1 species